GUUUACAAGAAAAGGGUGGUGAGCUCCAUUCAUAGAGAGAUCACAACUGGAACACGACUCAUUACAGUAACCAGGAGCUAGGCCCCAAGCCACUUUACAAGCUAAAAUACAGAAGGUAUCAUUACGUCCAUCAGUGUAGGGUGGCCACCUCUGGAGCAGCUCAAAGCAGCUGUUCUAACUGCACACAGUAACUCUAAGCUACAGUCGAAGACAGGAAAAGAAGAAAAAACACCGUGGUCAUUUGAAUUGAUGGAGCCUCCAGGUUACAGCUGUGGUGAGCAACGCAAGGAUGGAUGACACAAAAUAAAACAAAAUCCUGAUUUUCAACAAUAGCUUGUCUUCCAUGUGCCUGGCUUUCGUUCUGGUGGGGCCAUUUCGCCAUCUAGUGGUGUGAGAAGCAAUGACCACAGAGGCCUGUUGG